rnacentral:rRNA from 1 species
UACAGAGGGUGCAAGCGUUUGUUCGGAAUUAUUGGGCGUAAAGGGCGCGUAGGCGGCGCCACAAGUCACCGUGUGAAAACGUCUGGGCUCAACCCAGAGCCUGCAGGCGAAACUGUGGUGCUGGAGUAUGGGAGAGGUGCGUGGAAUUCCCGGUGUAGCGGUGAAAUGCGUAGAUAUCGGGAGGGACACCUGUGGCGAAAGCGGCGCACUGGACCAUAACUGACGCUGAGGCGCGAAAGCUAGGGGAGCAAACAGG